rnacentral:lncRNA from 1 species
AAUGAAAAACAAAGAAAAUGAAAGUAGAAUUAAGUCAAAUUUCUUAAUCACUUGAAAACACACUUUAAGGAUGAAAUCAUUGCAAGAUUAUAUUUAAAUAGGGGGAGUUUAUUUGAAAAGUAUUGAUUUGGAUCCUUGACAUGCUUGUUCUUAAUAUUUUAAUGCAUGAUUUAACACAUGAGAUGUUUUGCAUAUGGUAUGAUGUCUUGAUUUAUGGGUUCUCAAUAUUUUGUAAUGCUUCAUACUUGGACAAUUUGAUUGAAUGUUUGAAUUGCUACAUAACAUUUUUUGUUUAGUUUUAUUGAAAAGAAAUUUCAGAUUUGUCAUUCACAAUCAUUGUUAAAAUCUGAAAGCUAAAUAAAAUUGUAGAAAGGAGAAGAGAAGAAUAUCUCUAUUUAGGGAAAAUAAAUUGAUAUUGAUCUAUCUUUCUACUUGCCUAACUUUGAUACAUAAUGUCCUAAUACUUGUUAAAAUAUCCUUUAUUUUGUAUCGAAACUCAAAAUAAAAUACAAAGAUUCUGAAAGUGCUUUAAUGUUAUUGAAAUAUGUAUUUUUCAAUCGUAACAAUUUAAGAUGAGCUACAUUGUGAAAGAUACAUAUCUCAUAUUAUGACUUAGAAAGN